AACGAACGCUGGCGGCAUGCCUAACACAUGCAAGUCGAACGAGACCUUCGGGUCUAGUGGCGCACGGGUGCGUAACGCGUGGGAACCUGCCCUUAGGUUCGGAAUAACUCCCCGAAAGGGGUGCUAAUACCGGAUAAUGUCUUCGGACCAAAGAUUUAUCGCCUUUGGAUGGGCCUGCGUUGGAUUAGCUAGUUGGUAGGGUAAAAGCCUACCAAGGCGACGAUCCAUAGCUGGUCUGAGAGGAUGAUCAGCCACACUGGGACUGAGACACGGCCCAGACUCCUACGGGAGGCAGCAGUGGGGAAUAUUGGACAAUGGGCGAAAGCCUGAUCCAGCAAUGCCGCGUGAGUGAUGAAGGCCUUAGGGUUGUAAAGCUCUUUUACCCGGGAUGAUAAUGACAGUACCGGGAGAAUAAGCUCCGGCUAACUC
rnacentral:rRNA from 1 species